rnacentral:rRNA from 1 species
UCGGUGGCAGUAAAGGCUUCAGCAAGACACAGUCAGAACCAUAAGUCUCAAAGCCCCGACGAGUAGGGUGGCGUGCCGGUGCGCGUUGAAGGCCAAGACGUGAGUCAGGCUGGAGCCGCCGGUAGUGCAGAUCUUGGUGGUAGUAGCAAGUACUCUGGUGAACCAACCUGGAGCUGUGAGGUAUGGAUUAGGGUUCCAUGUCAACAGUGAUUGAACAUGGGUGAGUCGAACCUAAGCCAGCUGUGAAUGCAGUGACAUCCCAACAACGGGGACGCUCAAACAUGCAUAUUGGCACUUACACCCCCAAGGCACGCCUCUCUUGAAAGUUCUCUCUCUCUCUCUAUGUGAAGCAUUGGUCUAAGUCACCAAUGAGUGCCCGAAGGAACGCAAAACUGUGAAGAGCACUAUAAAGGAUUGGCGAAUUCUCUUAUGCAAGAGAAGGCGCGUAAACACGAUGAUCAUUACCUACGCGGUAUUGAGAGUGUCAGCGUCAGUAUGAUGCAAAGACGCACACACAAUGAUCACUACAAAUAUUAGUGAGUGUGUGCGCACAGCUGUCUGGUUACGCUCAUAAGCGUUGUGAACAAGGUCGAACUGAUAGUGAGGAUCUUAGACGAACUCACACACGAGAUGUGUGUGUCCGCUAAAGGUUCUGUCGUGAAACGAGAAGAGAGAGAGCGUAAGAGAGUUGGGUGAGAGUAAGACUGCCUUUGCACUUAGUCCCCCGCGUCUGGUUCUUUGUCCGGCGAAAGGGAAUGGGGACUUUUUUCCUUGACCGGUCCCGGCACCCUCGAUUGGCUUUGCCAAUCAAUGGUCCAUGCAAAUGGAACCAGGCCACAGCCGUCGGCAGUCGCCCGAGGAAGAGUUUUCUUUUCUGCUUAACGCACGAGGUCAUCCCUGGAAACAGUUCGGCUGGCGAAAGGGUGUCCAGUUGCGGCAGAGCGCCACGACUGUCGUGCGCGUCUCGGUGUUCCUGCUGAUCCGUGAAAACGUGGUCGAGGGGAAUGCUCUUGUAUCAACGAAACGUCCGACAAGUUCGGGACGGACCGUACCCUAUAUCCGCAUCUGGUCUCCAAGGUUCCUAGCCUCUGCAGAGUCUGACACAUGUAGGUAAGGGAAGUCGGCAAACUCGAUCCGUAACUUCGGGAAAAGGAUUGGCUCUGAGGGCCGAGCUGGGCCGGGCCUUGCCUGCAAAGCAGUACCUAUAGUGACCGGAGUUUCAGGAGUGCGAGGGGCUCUAGUAGCUGCUUGUGCGCGUGCGCGCGUGUGGGCACGAACGGGUCCACCACUCCGCUCCAACCACGAACGGCUGUGACGGCAAGGGCUCUGGGCGGGAGCGAUCUAUCCGUUAGCCCCCAGCGCGUCUGGGUGGCGGCGGUGCUCUGUCUGACCCAUACGGCUCCAGCGGCUAGCGGCUAACUCAGAACUGUCAUGGACCAAGGGAAUCCGACUGUCUAAUUAAAACAAAGCGUCGUGACGGCCCCUGUUGGGUGUUGACGCGACGUGAUUUCUGCCCAGUGCUCUGA